CCUACGGGUAGCAGCAGUGAGGAAUAUUGGUCAAUGGACGAGAGUCUGAACCAGCCAAGUAGCGUGAAGGAUGACUGCCCUAUGGGUUGUAAACUUCUUUUAUAUGGGAAUAAAAUGUUCCACGUGUGGGAUUUUGUAUGUACCAUAUGAAUAAGGAUCGGCUAACUCCGUGCCAGCAGCCGCGGUAAUACGGAGGAUCCGAGCGUUAUCCGGAUUUAUUGGGUUUAAAGGGAGCGUAGGUGGUUUGUUAAGUCAGUUGUGAAAGUUUGCGGCUCAACCGUAAAAUUGCAGUUGAAACUGGCAGGCUUGAGUUCAGUAGAGGUAGGCGGAAUGCGUGGUGUAGCGGUGAAAUGCUUAGAUAUCACGAAGAACUCCGAUUGCGAAGGCAGCUCACUGGACUGCAACUGACGCUGAGGCUCGAAAGUGUGGGUAUCAAACAGGAUUAGAUACCCCAGUAGUC
rnacentral:rRNA from 1 species